CAGUCGCCGCGGGAAUACGGAGGGCGCGAGCGUUACCCGGAUUUACUGGGCGUAAAGGGCGUGUAGGCGGCCUGGGGCGUCCCAUGUGAAAGGCCACGGCUCAACCGUGGAGGAGCGUGGGAUACGCUCAGGCUAGAGGGUGGGAGAGGGUGGUGGAAUUCCCGGAGUAGCGGUGAAAUGCGCAGAUACCGGGAGGAACGCCGAUGGCGAAGGCAGCCACCUGGUCCACUUCUGACGCUGAGGCGCGAAAGCGUGGGGAGCAAACAGGAUUAGAUACCCCGGUAGUCCCUGUCUCUUAUAC
rnacentral:rRNA from 1 species